UACGUAGGGGGCAAGCGUUGUCCGGAUUUAUUGGGCGUAAAGAGCGUGUAGGCGGUUUGGUAGGUCCGCUGUGAAAACUCGAGGCUCAACCUCGAGACGCCGGUGGAAACCAUCAGGCUAGAGUCCGGAAGAGGAGAGUGGAAUUCCUGGUGUAGCGGUGAAAUGCGUAGAGAUGUGGAGGAACACCAAUGGCGAAGGCACUCUACUGGGCCAUUACUGACACUGGAGAGACGAAAGCUAGGGGAGCAAAUGGG
rnacentral:rRNA from 1 species